CAGAGAGCCUGUAAUACACCAGACCAGUGGAGCCAGACUGCAGCUAGAGCCCAUCAUCAUCCUCAUCUGGUUGUAAGUAGGCAAUCUAGUAUAUUAUUUGUGGCACUAAUCUCUAGUCCCCAGAACCACUUCAGCUUAAUGAAGUGGUUCUGGUGUCCAUAGCCUGUCCCUGCAGGCCUUUUAAUGUAAACACUGCGGCACUGCAGCACUGGCGUUAGUUAACAUGGCGGAUCAUAUGGGUGGGGCAUUGUGAUGUCACAUGGGGGGGGCGGCAAACUUUACUUUUGCCUAGGGCGGCAAAAAUCCUUGCACCGGCAGGGCCGGACUGGUCUUAAUCGGGAUACAACCGAAAUCUCUCCCCGGUGGGGUCACGUAGUAUACUGGGGGCCGUGGCCGCCGCCUCUGGCCGGCCCCCUUAACAUUGCAGCCCUGUUUCCAGAAGAAAUGCGUCAGGCGGAAAGCCGUGCAGCUUCAACAGCCAAAAAUCCCAGCGGCCGGCUGGAGUGAUAGGAAGGGGCACACUGAGUGUGCACUUCCUGUCAGUCCGGCCGGUUACAGGAAACAGAAACCCCGCGCGGAACAGGAGUUUCUGUUUCCUGUAACCGGCCGGACUGACAGGAAGUGCAUACUCAGUGUGCACCUUCCUAUCACUCCGGCCGGCCACCGCGGACCGGAGUGCAGCUCGGCCACGCUACAGGGAGGGGGGUAAGAAGAGGGGAGGGGGAAUACAGCGAGGAACAAAAAAAGAGGGGGAGGGGAAUAAGAAGAGGGGAGUGGAGGGGAAUAAAAAGAGGGAGUGGGGGGAAGAAGAGGGAGGGGGUAAUAAGAAGGGGGAAUAAGAAGGGAGGGGGAAUAAGAUGAGGGAGGGAGGGAUGCUACAGGGGACAAAAAAAGAGGAGUGGGGAAUAAGAUUUAUAGAGUGGGAAUAAGAAGAGGGGGAAUAACAAGAAGAGGGAGGAGGGACAAGAAGAGGGAGUGGGGAAUAAGAUGAGGAGUGGGGGAAUAAAAGGGAGGAGGGAGGGGAACAAGAAGAGGGGGGAAUAAGAUGAGGGGGAUAAGAAGAGGGAGGGCAGGAUAAGAAGAGGGAGGGGGGAAUAAAAGAGGGAGGGGGGAAUAAGAUGAGGGGGGAAUAAGAAGAGUGGAGGGCGGGGAAUAAGAAGAGGGGAGGGGGGAAUAAGAAGAGGGGAGGGAGGGAUAAGAAGAGGGGAGGGGGGAAUAAGAAGAGGGGAGGGAGGGAUAAGAAGAGGGGAGGGAGGGAAUAAAAAGAGGGGAGGGGGGAAUAAGAUGGGGGGAAUAAGAAGAGGGGAGGGGGGGAAUAAGAAGAAGGGGCAGCUCUAUAGGACAGGGGCCAAGACAGGGAGCUCUUUCACACUACGCGCGCACACACACACACAAUGCAUCCCUAUACAUACACACAGAGAAACACACAAUGCAUCCAUUACACACACACACACAAUGCAACCCUUACACACAAAGACAAUGCAUCCUUUGCACACAUACACAGAAACAGACAAUGCAAACCCGUACACACGCAUGCAAACACACACACUUCUUUUCUUACAUACACACAGAAACACAAUGCAUCUCAUGCACACACAUACAGACACACACCUUGCAUCCCUUAUGCAUACAAACACAGAUUCACACAAUGCAUCCCUUACACACAACCAGAAACACAUAAUACAUCCCUUAUACACAAAUACACACUGCUUCCACUACACACAAACACACUGCAUCACCUGCACAAACUGGUAACCCUAAACACUACAUACCAUAAGCACACAUAUUAGAUCCUCUACAAUAACACAUAACACAUCCCCUACACACUCCACUCCCUGUGAGCGAACUCAUGGGUGGGUGGAACUUAUGAGUGGGCCUUAUGGGCAUACUCACCGUCAGGCCCUGGGGCCCAGACCUUGAGCUGUGUAAGGGGCCCCAAAAAAUUGAGCUGCUUCCAAUUCUCCCAGAACAUUGAAUUUUGUGACCACAGUUGCAAACAGCCUCCAGAGAUCCUGUUCUACACCAGACCAGUGGAGCCAAACUGCAGCCCAUCAUCAUCCUCAUCUGCUUGUAAGUAGGCAAUCUAGUAUAUUAUUAGUGACACUAAUCUAUAAUUUACCUCACAUUAAAGGGACACUAUAGCUUAAUGAAGUGGUUCUGGUGUCUAUAGCUGGUCCCUGCAGGCUUUUUAAUGUAAACACACACUGUGUGCAGCACUGGCGUUAGUUCAUAUGGCAGAUCAUAUGGGUGGGGCAUUGUGAUGUGACAUGUGGGGGCAGCAAAUUUUUAUUUUGUCUAGGGUGGCAAAAAUCCUUGCACCGGCUCUGAUCCUGGGCAGGUGCACCAGUCUACUUGACUGGUUUUGCCCCCCAGGCCUAAGGCUGCCAGCCCUCCCCUGGCCGCUGGGGAGGUCUUUUGGCGGCCCUGGCGGACUUGUCCUGGCGGCCGCUGAGGGAGCUGCGCGAGCUGCGCUGGCUCUGCUCCCCAGCACGCAGCUGAAUGAGACCAGCGCCGGAAUAUGACGUCAUAUUCCGGCGCCAGUCUCAUUCAGCAGCGCGAGGGCGGGAGGGCACUAACACAGGAAGCACCUCUAGUGACCGUCUGAGGGACUGUCACUAGCAGUGUCACUUUGAAGCAAUGUAAACACUGCCUUUUGUCUGAAAAGUCAGUGUUUACGUUGAAAAGCCUGUAGGGACAUGCUAUAGACACCAGUACCACCACAUUAAGCUGUGUGUGUGUGUAUCAAUGAGCUUGUGUGUGUCACUGAAAUGUCAGUGAAAUUGCCUGUGUCUGCAUGUGCGUAUGCUUACUGUAUAAUUAAACGUUUUACCCUGAAAGGACCAAUAUUUUAUAUUAGAAAAAGCAAUAUAUAUAUAUAUAUAUAUAUAUAUAUAUAUAUAUAUUACUCAAUCAUCUGUCCUGGCAAGAUAUAGCCUUACAUAUUACACGCGACAAUAUAUGGCGCAGUGACUUAUGGGGCUGGCACAAAUUUUUUUUCCAGGGCUGCUUUGUAUCCCCAGUCCGGCCCUGUGCACCGGCCCUGGUUGUAUACAGCAAACACAGACUAAAAGGAAUCCAUGUUUAACCCCUUAAGGACUGAGCCAAAUGUACACACUGUGAUCAAAACAAAAUGUAAACAAAAACUUGAAUUUGCGCUAUAUGUCUGUUCAGGCGUAAUUCACCACUUUCAUACUAUGUGCACCCACACUUAUUAUAAAUCAUUUUAUUUAGGGGAAACAGUACUUUCAUUUAACAUCAAAUAUUUAGAUAUAGGACAAUCUAAUAUGAAUAAAAUAUAAAAAAAAUGGGAGAAAAUAAGAAUUUUCAAUUUUUUUUAGUUCUACGUGACAUUUUAACUGUUAAGGUCAUAAUAAUGUUUGCUUUUACUGCAAUAAAAUACACAUAUUUGUAUUCAGCGAUGUCUCACGUGUAAAACCGUACCCCCUAUGUACAGGUUUUAUGGUGUUUUGGGAAGUUACAGGGUCUAAUAUAGCAUGUUACAUUUUUCAGUUUUUUCCCACUGAAAUUCCUUGUUGCCUUUGAGACCAUAUGGUAGCCAAGGAAUAAGAAUUACCCCCAUGAUGGCAUACCAUUUGCAAUAGUAGACAACCCAAUGUAUUGCAAAUGGGGUAUAUCCAUUCUUUUUUAGUAGCCACUUGGUCACAAUCACUGGCCAAAGUUAGUGUUAAUAUUUGUUUGUGUGUGAAAAAUGCAAAAAAAUUAUUUGAACGCCAAUUUUGGCCAGUGUUUGUCUACCAUUGCAAAUGGUAUGCCAUCAUGGGGGUAAUUUUCAUUCCUGGGCUACCAUACGGUCUCAAAGGCAACGUAACCAAUCUGGCGAAUUUCAAUGGGAAAAAACUGAAAUGCAAGCCUUAUAUUUGACUCUGUAACUUUUAAAAAUACCAUAAAACCUGUAUAUGGGGGGUACUGUUAUACUCAGGAGACUUCGCUGAACACAAAUAUUAGUGUUUCAAAACAGUAAAACGUAUUUAUGUAAUCAUUUUACAUAAUUAGGUCAUUUUAUUAAUUACAAUUUGUGUGUGUGUAUAUAUAUAUAUAUAUGUAUAUAACUUUUUAUUAUUUUUAUUUAUACAAAGGUGUGUAUAUAUAUAGUGAUAUAUACGUGUAUAUAUUUAUGUAUAUAGAUAUAUAUUAUUUCGUUCUACGUGUAUUUUGAUAUCAAUAUAUAUUAAUUUUAAAAUACAGUGAGAACAAAAUUACACAUAUAUAUUAUUUAUUAUUUUUAUUUUUUAACACAUUUACAUAUAUUUAUUUUAUAUUAUAUAUAAAUAUAUAUAAUGAUAAUUAUAUAUAUAUAUAUUUAAUCAAUAUCAUUCUACGUGUACUUUGAUAUUAAGAUAUAUAUAUAUAUAUAUAUAUAAUUAUAUAUAUAUUAAUAUUAAAAUACACUUAGACAGUGUAUGUGUAUUUAUGUGUAUGUAUGUGUAUCUGUAUAUAUAUACUUAGAUCAUAUAUAUAAUAAUCUAAGUAUAUAUAUAUAUGAUCUAAGUAUAUAUAUAAUAUAAUUUUACACUGUUUAAACUUCUAUUUUAUUUAUUUCAGGCAGCAGGGGGAGUACUUGUCAUUACAGGCACUCCCCCUGCUGGCAUUGCUAUGGACGGCUAUGCCGUCCAUGUGAUCGUGAGGUCCUCGCAAGGACCUUGUGAUCACAUGGCCCGGGGGGCCGAAACGGACAGACGGGGACUCUCUGGGCUCCCAGGUGAGUUCCCACACUGCAAUUGCCGGCGUGGGAUUGCCGGCGACCGGGUAAGUUAAAAGGACGGCGGGGACAUGCUAUGCCGCCCCCCUGCGUUUAGAGCCAGGUCCCUAAGGAUGGCAUAGCACGCCCGCCGUCCUUAAGGGGUUAAAAUGGAAUGAGGCAAAAAUGUGAUGCUUUGUUGAACUAAUUUGCAUAUGCCCACCCAGAAUCCUUUGCGGUAGUAACAUCACUGCAGAUUUGUGAUUUCUGUGGGAGAACUGUGGGCUGACAGGUCUGCAGCUUUUUGUUUAACAUUGUAUUUACUAUAUAUAUAUAUAUGUGCCAUUACUCCAAUCUCCCCUGAUUCCUUCCAACCCCCCUCUCUCUAUUUUCUUUCUCUCAGUUCCCAUUUUACCAAUGUAGACUGCCCUCCUCCUUUAUAUAAUUACAUUUGGUUUCCUACUGUGUUUCCUAAUGCCCCCACAACUGGUGAUGUACCCUAUGGCAUGCUUUAAGAAAUCAUAAAUCAUUCUGUAACUCACUAUGUUCCUUACUGGUAUUUUGCUCUCAAUGAAGGUUUAUAAAUGUUUGAAAAAGCACAACUGAGCUGUGUUUCUAGGUCUGAGGGCACUGUAAAAAUUAUUUUUAAAAAAUUAAACAAAAAAAGUAUAGAUAUGUAUAGUAGAUCAAGAGAUGUUGCAGUUCCAUUUUUUCCUUUCUAACUUCACUGUAUAUCAUUAUCAUAUGUGAAGGCCACAAAUUGCUUGCAUAAUGCACUGUAAUGCCCACAUUAGUAAUGUCUAACAUGGCACUCAACCUAUCAGGGCCAUUGUUCUCAUGGUACUCUGUCAGGUUUAAUGUUUGUGGAGCAUCAUGGGAAAUGUAGGCUAUGCCAGCUAGAACACCAACAACAUUCAGUAUAGGCAUUACACACACUAUUUAGAUGUCUGACAUAGUUAUUAAAGUGUAAAUAGUCACAAAUUCAAAGAAAAUUUCACAUUUUAUGUCAAAAUAACUGAACUGGAAAAAUUCUCAGUCAGCCAUGUUCACAAUUUGAGAUAUUUUGGUCUAAAGUUUGGAAUUCACUUUAAAUCCCCCAACAUUGACACUUUAGUAAAGAAGUUUGUGAAUUGUCUUUGUUUCUCCAACCUUGACAUAAUAAAGUGGUAAUGUAUGCGCCCUCUUUUUUUAAAACAGACGAUGCAGUCACAGGAAGCCCCUGGAGUCCAGUAUAGUCGGUGGAAUGACCAAAACCAAGAUGAAGUGAGUGUGACCACAUCUUCCUCUGAGGCCCCAACAUGGAGAAGGUAAAGUUACCGAGCAAAGGCUUGAUUUAAUUAUGAAAUCAAAGAUAUUUUAAAUAGUUCCUGUUUGUUUGUUUGUUUGUUUGUUUAUAGAAAAUCACAGCAAUAGCUCUACCUGCACCUAUCAGAGAACAGAAAGCAUAAAUGGCAAUUUGUACAUUUGAAUAAAUUAUUAUGCAAAAUACAGAUUAAGGAGCAGUGCUGAAUCUGUAUCUUGUGUAAAUUAUGGUCUUUACAGCAAUACCACUGUUGAGAAAUGUAUAUUCCGGGUGUGCCCUAAAUUCCCCUUUGUUCUUUGUGUUAUUAUACUCCGAGCAGGACAGACCACAGACCAACCUGAAAAGGAAACUUUAGUCACCUAAACAACUUUAGCUUAAUGAAGCAAUUCUGGUGUAUAGAUCUCUACAGUCUCACUGAUCAAUUCUCUGCUAUUUACGAAUUAAAUCACUUUGUUCAUCCAGACCUGUUCACACGUCCAUGUUUCUGACUUACACAGUCUUCCUAAACACUUCCUGUAAAGAGUCAUCUAAUGUUUAUUCUUCCUUUAUUGUAAAUUCUGUUUCAUUUAGAAUUUCUUAUCCCCUGCUCUGUUAAUAAUUUGCCAGACCCAGCAGGAGCCUCCUGUGUGUGAUUAAAGUUCAAUUUACAGAGCAGGAGAUAAAAGAACUUAAACUAAGUUACAUCUGAUGAAAUGAAGCCGUUUUUUGUCAUUCAGGCUGUGUCAGUCACAGCCAGGGGAGGUGUGACUGGGGCUGCAUAAACAGAAACAAAAGUGAUUUAACUCCUAAAUGGCAGUGAAUUGAGCAGUGAAACUUCAGAGGCAUGAUCUAUACACAAAAACUGCUUCAUUAAGCUAAAGUUGUUUUGGUGACUAUAGUGUCCCUUUAAAAUACCAGAAGUGUCUAGAGUGCUAAACAAUAUUACCGACUUAAAACAAGCAAACAAAUUUGAAUGCUGCACAAACUAAAAGUUUAUAAAACAAGGUGACAAGUUCAACUCAUUAUUUUUGUUUUAUUUUUAGGGUCUGGAACAUGCUGUGUACGGGCAAGAUUGGCAUUGUAGUGAAAGUGAUAGGGGGAUUGGCAUUCUUUUGGAUUGUUUUUAUCAUUGGAUAUGUCACCGGUUACUAUGUCCAUAAAUGCAAACAGCAGUGACAUGCCUAUCAGAUUUUUUUUGUAUGAACUAUUUCCUCAAACUGAAAGCCCUGGACUAUCACAGAAGAAUGAAACUUCUAAUAAGGAAACUCUUAUGGAACAACAACCUGCAGAACAACUAGAAACAAUAUAAAGGGUGGAACAGAAAAGAAAACCACAGAUACUUUAUAAAUUCAAAUACAUGUGAAUGUCAAUCAAUGUAAGAUGACUCCAACAUAAUAUUCAGACUAUUACACAUAAAACCAGGCGUGUUUUGUACAUAACAAGUGUUAUGAAACUACAGAUUGAUAUUGAUAUUCUGUUUGUCAAAUGGUACAUGUUUCCAAUUCUAUCAUUUAAUGUAUUUUAAAUCAAAUUUCUCAGAAUUUGAUACAUGAAUUGAUCUUGAUAACUAGGGACUUUAAUGACAAUUUAAAGUCAAAAUCAUAAAUUUGGUAGGCAAAUGUUGACAUCAAAAAUAUUUCAUUGGGGAACGGUAAGAAUGACUGAAUUAAAAUAAAACUUAUGAGUUAAUAAUUAAGUAAAAAUCUAUGCAUAUAGAUUAAUAAUAAUAAUAUAAUAAAGAUAUGCGGCCCACAAACAAUAGACUAAAAAGAGUUAUUUUUAUUUAAAAUGUAUUCGUAAACAAAAAGAGAAAUUAUAAUAAUAUAUAGCAUACAUAGUGAAUACAAUAAGAUAUAUAAUAGCAAAUAAACAUUCUCCCUACGCUUUAUAUUGUAUAAGAUUUAUUGAUGUUUAACUCUUUAAGAAUGACCUGCAAAAUAGAUCCAGAUCUGAAAUCCUACUGAUAUUUCAGUGGAAAUGUUCUUUGUUAAAAGGUUUUUUUGGGGAAAGACUUAUUGACGUCACAUUCAAAAUAGAGCAUGGUGGGGUGGAGUCGUGCACCUGUGCAGUGAAGUCAGAAAUGGUGGUGGAAAAUGUGGAGUGAUAACAGACAGACCUAUAAAUUCAUUGAAAACAGGAAAACGAAUCAGCCUCUAAGAAAGUCUGAUGUAGUGAAUGAAACAUAAAGUUUUUAAGCAAGGCUACAAACAAGUCGACAUGUGGAAGAGGUUCCUUGUGGGUGCCCAUUUGCCUUGACCACAAACAUCUAGAGAAAUCCAGAGGAACUUUAAAAGGACAUAGUGUCUUCAGUGGAUUCGAGAUGUAUAAACGAGGUGGAGUUUGGGUGGAACUACCGAGCAACUGUGACAACAGCUCUUUUGUGCAGUUAUGUUAUUUUGCAAGUUGCCUUGUCUGAAAAGGGUUUAUUAAAUUUGUAUGCUAAGUUGCGAUGAUAAAAUCUUUUUUUUUUUGUUUUAACUUACAUGUUUUUAUACAAACAAUUAGAUAACUAUUCACUCGGUGUAUACCAUAUGUAAUGUGUACAUACUACACUUUCCAAUCUAAUGCCCCUGUUUCCACUUAUAUUUGUGUUCUAUACACUAAUCAAAGAUGUGAGUAAGGGGGUGACAUUUGAAUCAUGUAUUACCUGGGCUUAUUUCAAUUUUAUAAAUUUUAAAUGCCUUGUUGUUCAUCAAUCGACAUGAAGGCAAAUUACGGUGUCAUGGAAAGAUCAUUGUAAAUUUGCAACAUGUGAUGCUGUGAUGCAUGGGUCAACGAAUCACCUGGAAUUUUUUUAUAAUGGUUCUAUCUAGAAUAUUGUUCUUUAGUUCAGUGAAACAGAAGUUGAAAUGUGCACUGCCAUGCAUGAAUGGUUUAUUAACCAUUAAGGACACUAGAGGGAAAUCAAGAUUCGAGACCACUUUGAUGCCCCUGAGCCUUCAUAGCUUGCCACCACCGAGGGAACAAUGAAUUCAAAAUCGUAUGUAAGAAAUUUUACACAAGUAUAAAAAUGUAGGAGCUGGUCAUGUGAAGCUUUGUAGACAGUAGGAGAGAUUUACCAAAGUGAAAAGUGAAGCAAAAUGGUAAAAGUGGAAUAGUCAUUAAUAAAAUACUGUGUUUCAAUCGAUUGCAUUGGUUUCCAUGGUGACCGCCUCACCUUUGGUACUUUGCCCCUACUUUACAGAGCACAGUACUUUGAUAAAUCUCUCCAGUGACUGAAAACACUGGAGUAAAUCAACAACAGAAUGGCUCUCACAGAAGAGUUAAGGGUCGGGACUUUUCACAAAAUAAUUGAAUUAACAUUACAUCCUCAGCUCCUGUGAGAGGAAGUUGACUGCUGUUCAUCAUUCUUGUACUCUCAUGUAUGGACAAGAGUACAAAACAGAGGUUUAUGGAAGAUCAUGUAACAGAUCUGCUCUUUCAUGGGCAAUGGGAUGUUAUUCUCAUCUAUUGAGCAUCUAAUGAGAUACUGGAGCUGAAGUUAAGAAAGUG